GAUCAAGUGUAGUAUCUGUUCUUAUCAGUUUAAUAUCUGAUACGUCCUCGAUGAGAGGACUUUAUAUUAAACGGAUUUUUGGGCCUGGGAGUUGGAUCCGGAGCUUGCUCCCUCCGCUCCGCGCAUCGUCCCGGUAUUGCAGUGCCUCCGGGAACGGUGCACACCCC
rnacentral:snRNA from 1 species